rnacentral:lncRNA from 1 species
AAAAAUGAUUUCUUAACUAAAAUCCAAAGACUUAAUGCUUUGGAAAGUUAGAGGUUUGAACUAGUUUCCCCAAAUACCCCUGUAAGGGCUCAAUUUCGUUCGGCCCAAAAUAGAAACCAAAAAUAAUAAUAAUUAAACAAAAUAAAAAAGCCAAAAUAAAAGUUCAAGUCCAUGUACAAAAAUCCCAAAUACAAAAAACCCUAAGGCCCACAACCUAAACUUUUUUAGAAAAUUAAAAAAACCCUAGGUCUCCAGCGCCGCUUCCCCACCACGUCGGCAUGCUCGCGCCCCAAGGCCUGACGCCUUAUCUACCAC